rnacentral:rRNA from 1 species
UACGAAGGGGGCUAGCGUUGCUCGGAAUCACUGGGCGUAAAGGGUGCGUAGGCGGGGAUUUAAGUCAGAGGUGAAAUCCUGGAGCUCAACUCCAGAACUGCCUUUGAUACUGAGUAUCUUGAGUACGGGAGAGGUGAGUGGAACUGCGAGUGUAGAGGUGAAAUUCGUAGAUAUUCGCAAGAACACCAGUGGCGAAGGCGGCUCACUGGCCCGUUACUGACGCUGAGGCACGAAAGCGUGGGGAUCAAACAGG